rnacentral:rRNA from 1 species
UACGGAGGGGGGCUAGCGUUGUUCGGAAUUACUGGGCGUAAAGCGCACGUAGGCGGCUUUUGUAAGUUAGAGGUGAAAGCCCGGGGCUCAACUCCGGAAUUGCCUUUAAGACUGCAUCGCUAGAAUUGUGGAGAGGUGAGUGGAAUUCCGAGUGUAGAGGUGAAAUUCGUAGAUAUUCGGAAGAACACCAGUGGCGAAGGCGACUUACUGGACACAUAUUGACGCUGAGGUGCGAAAGCGUGGGUAGCAAACAGG